UGAACGCCUGGAGUGUGAUGCGAUUAUAGAAUGUGCUAUCCAAGAUGAGCCAUUUGAAGAUCUAACAAAUGACAAUUGGCGAAGGAUUGACUCUUUAAUUCGAAAUAAUAUUGGAUACCAUUGCGAUGAGUGUGACAAGGUUUACAAGCAUCGACCGAACCUUUCGAGGCAUAAGCGUCAUAUGCAUGAUGGGAAAAGAAAAAACCUUAGUGAAUCAAGUACGUCAAACAAACGCUCACGAAAUAUGCAGGAGAAUGAAGCUGGGCCUUCACGACAAAUGAAUCAGACUGGAGGUGGGUCUCAAGUCGAACGACCGAAUCAUGAGCAACCAGAGGCUCCUCAAAAUGAAUCUGCCCUUCCACGAGACGACGAGGACGAGCAACUUGAAGCCCUUCUUAGUCAACAUCGGGAGAUCAUAGAAGCUGAAGACCAUCUUC